rnacentral:rRNA from 1 species
GACGAACGCUGGCGGCGUGCCUAAUACAUGCAAGUAGAACGCUGAAGGAGGAGCUUGCUCUUCUGGAUGAGUUGCGAACGGGUGAGUAACGCGUAGGUAACCUGCCUGGUAGCGGGGGAUAACUAUUGGAAACGAUAGCUAAUACCGCAUAAUAUUGACUAUUGCAUGAUAGUCAAUUGAAAGGUGCAAAUGCACCACUACCAGAUGGACCUGCGUUGUAUUAGCUAGUUGGUGGGGUAACGGCUCACCAAGGCGACGAUACAUAGCCGACCUGAGAGGGUGAUCGGCCACACUGGGACUGAGACACGGCCCAGACUCCUACGGGAGGCAGCAGUAGGGAAUCUUCGGCAAUGGACGGAAGUCUGACCGAGCAACGCCGCGUGAGUGAAGAAGGUUUUCGGAUCGUAAAGCUCUGUUGUAAGAGAAGAACGAGUGUGAGAGUGGAAAGUUCACACUGGACGGUAUCUACCAGAAAGACG